GAUAUCUGACCAACCUAGACCAGAGCAAAACAUAAUCCAUAACAGUAUCUGCCAUACUAUGGGCAACAUAUCCGGUGCGUAAUCAGUAACAAUUUUUGUUUGUUGUACCGUUAAUACUCAUGUAUAAAAUGAAGACUGAGUGAUUCAUUGAUAAUUGGCCAAAUAGGAAAUCAAAAUAUGAUUGUCCUUACAGUUGUAAAAAACAGUAAUGAGAAGGUGUUGUAAAAAAAAAAAAUAACAAAUAGGGUUGAUCAUUAUUUUAGUAUACCAUGUUGACAAAUAUUACGGAUAACAUACAAGUUGCAAUAUUCAUGAAUGAGAUUUGCUUGUAGCACCGUUAAAUCCCAAAGGUGGAUGAGUUCAUUGAUAUAUGGGAAAAUAUGAGGAAAUCCAUAUACAACAGUCUUUAUAGUUUAAAGGUAACUGCCAACAGCAGAUGAAGUUUAACAAAAAAAAACAAAAAAUCUUUGCUUAAAAAUUAUUCUAGCAGCUGCUCCUGUGAGUAUGUGACUAAGUAACUUCAACCUCCUCCAACUAUGCACUGUGUGCCUUCUUAUGUGCCUUGGAAGACGUAGGGAACAGAGAGUUUGUGGCUGAUAGACCACCUUAGGUUGUUUCAAUAGCUGGCUCUUGCUCAUUGUCAUCACCAUGACAUUGAUCAUGGCUGGAAGGCUGCUAACUCCAGGCAUAUCAUUUCCAGGGCCGCCACUUACAUCUUGUGAUCACAUGAACAAAUAUUCUCAUUUUAAUGCAUGGCAAAAAAAAGUUAUAAAAGAGAAAGUCAAUUUUGUGAAAUUAUAAAAGAGGAAGCAACUCCUAAAAUCUUUGUUUUUGUUUUCUCGUUGCAACAACAACUUUAAGGUCAACAUGUAAGUGUACCGAUUGUUUAUGAAAGGCAGCAGCUCAAGGAAAUAGAUACAUCACUGUGGAUUUCAGACAAAGUACGUGAUGUUAACAUGUUUUGGUAGUUCUAGUUGAUUUAUGCUAUCGUAGAGGUCUUUAUAAGCAAAGUUAAGAAAAACGUACUGAUUCUUUGCCUUGUGAGGAGUCAUCAACAGUACCC
rnacentral:lncRNA from 1 species